GGCACGGUGGCUUAGUGGUUAGCGCGUUUGCCUUGCACCUCCAUGGUUGGGGGUUAAAAUCCUGCCUCCGCCC